rnacentral:misc_RNA from 1 species
UCUGCUGAAUCAGUUGUGGGG